CAAAAAAGGUCCGUUUUUUCAUUUUCUGAGACCGGAAGAGGUCAUCAGCAAGCGUGGAGCCAAUAGACUGUACAUAUGUUUUUUUUCGUGAGUUUUCAUGGUCAAAAUGAGAGCUCAGGUGGCCGAUCUUAAAAUAAAUCAAUAUUGAUUUUUUUAUAGGGAAUUAAAGUUUUGCGAAGCCAGGGGGCGGGACUACUUGAUUGACAGUCCGGUCUGGAAUGAUUGACAGGUCCUAUGGAGGAGGCAGCAGAGACUCUGUUCUCCUCGUUUGGAUUAAUUCUGAUAUAAUAACUGUUGGUUUAUUUAUUGGUGGAGCAGCAGAACAUUUUCCACAGACAGUUUUCCUGCCCGUUGGCUUGUUUUAACCAGUUUUCUACCUUCGGCUGAUUCUACCAGCAGACACUGAAAGGACUCUGAUAGUUCGAGUGAAAGUAGCAGUUCCUCCUUAAGGUCAGAGAUUGCAGCAUCUGAGGGCCUCUUCAAAAGAAGACAUAGUUGAUGAAGGCGUUCUGGAGCAGGACCAGAAAGACCACGACCAAGCAGCCUUGAGAUCUUAGGCAGCGUCUCCCUCAGACCAAAGAACUACAGACUCUUCACAACCUGCUCAAACUCUUGGUACAGGACCUCACCACACGGGUCAAAAAGGUUUCCUUCUCAUUUCUACUCUGAAGCUCACCUUCUCCUGCUCAAACUGCUGACAAAUGUUUCUGCUGCUCUAAAGUCUGGUCUCCAGAACUUCCUAAAACCUCUCAAAGUCUCUUCUGCUGCAGGUUGCUUUGUAGAACUGUUGCAGAAAACCUCACUAAACCACAU
ensembl:lncRNA